rnacentral:rRNA from 1 species
UACGAAGGGGGCUAGCGUUGUUCGGAUUUACUGGGCGUAAAGCGCGUGUAGGCGGGCUGGUAAGUUGGGGGUGAAAUCCCGAGGCUCAACCUCGGAACUGCCUCCAAAACUUCCAGCCUGGAGCAAGAUAGAGGCAAGUGGAAUUGCGAGUGUAGAGGUGAAAUUCGUAGAUAUUCGCAGGAACACCAGUGGCGAAGGCGACUUGCUGGAGCUUUGCUGACGCUGAGACGCGAAAGCGUGGGGAGCAAACAGG